AGAGUUUGAUCAUGGCUCAGAUUGAACGCUGGCGGCAGGCCUAACACAUGCAAGUCGAACGGUAACAGAAAGCAGCUUGCUGCUUUGCUGACGAGUGGCGGACGGGUGAGUAAUGUCUGGGAAACUGCCUGAUGGAGGGGGAUAACUACUGGAAACGGUAGCUAAUACCGCAUAACGUCGCAAGACCAAAGAGGGGGACCUUCGGGCCUCUUGCCAUCGGAUGUGCCCAGAUGGGAUUAGCUUGUUGGUGGGGUAACGGCUCACCAAGGCGACGAUCCCUAGCUGGUCUGANGGUGGGGUAACGGCUCACCUAGGCGACGAUCCCUAGCUGGUCUGAGAGGAUGACCAGCCACACUGGAACUGAGACACGGUCCAGACUCCUACGGGAGGCAGCAGUGGGGAAUAUUGCACAAUGGGCGCAAGCCUGAUGCAGCCAUGCCGCGUGUAUGAAGAAGGCCUUCGGGUUGUAAAGUACUUUCAGCGGGGAGGAAGGGAGUAAAGUUAAUACCUUUGCUCAUUGACGUUACCCGCAGAAGAAGCACCGGCUAACUCCGUGCCAGCAGCCGCGGUAAUACGGAGGGUGCAAGCGUUAAUCGGAAUUACUGGGCGUAAAGCGCACGCAGGCGGUUUGUUAAGUCAGAUGUGAAAUCCCCGGGCUCAACCUGGGAACUGCAUCUGAUACUGGCAAGCUUGAGUCUCGUAGAGGGGGGUAGAAUUCCAGGUGUAGCGGUGAAAUGCGUAGAGAUCUGGAGGAAUACCGGUGGCGAAGGCGGCCCCCUGGACGAAGACUGACGCUCAGGUGCGAAAGCGUGGGGAGCAAACAGGAUUAGAUACCCUGGUAGUCCACGCCGUAAACGAUGUCGACUUGGAGGUUGUGCCCUUGAGGCGUGGCUUCCGGAGCUAACGCGUUAAGUCGACCGCCUGGGGAGUACGGCCGCAAGGUUAAAACUCAAAUGAAUUGACGGGGGCCCGCACAAGCGGUGGAGCAUGUGGUUUAAUUCGAUGCAACGCGAAGAACCUUACCUGGUCUUGACAUCCACGGAAGUUUUCAGAGAUGAGAAUGUGCCUUCGGGAACCNGCGUUAAGUCGACCGCCUGGGGAGUACGGCCGCAAGGUUAAAACUCAAAUGAAUUGACGGGGGCCCGCACAAGCGGUGGAGCAUGUGGUUUAAUUCGAUGCAACGCGAAGAACCUUACCUGGUCUUGACAUCCACAGAACUUUCCAGAGAUGGAUUGGUGCCUUCGGGAACUGUGAGACAGGUGCUGCAUGGCUGUCGUCAGCUCGUGUUGUGAAAUGUUGGGUUAAGUCCCGCAACGAGCGCAACCCUUAUCCUUUGUUGCCAGCGGUCCGGCCGGGAACUCAAAGGAGACUGCCAGUGAUAAACUGGAGGAAGGUGGGGAUGACGUCAAGUCAUCAUGGCCCUUACGACCAGGGCUACACACGUGCUACAAUGGCGCAUACAAAGAGAAGCGACCUCGCGAGAGCAAGCGGACCUCAUAAAGUGCGUCGUAGUCCGGAUUGGAGUCUGCAACUCGACUCCAUGAAGUCGGAAUCGCUAGUAAUCGUGGAUCAGAAUGCCACGGUGAAUACGUUCCCGGGCCUUGUACACACCGCCCGUCACACCAUGGGAGUGGGUUGCAAAAGAAGUAGGUAGCUUAACCUUCGGGAGGGCGCUUACCACUUUGUGAUUCAUGACUGGGGUGAAGUCGUAACAAGGUAACCGUAGGGGAACCUGCGGUUG
rnacentral:rRNA from 1 species